AGUCACUGACAUUAGAUACCCGUGUAGUCCAGGGUGUAAACGCUGCAGACUUGGUGUUGGAAGCCCUUUGGGGGCAUUCAGUGCCGGAGAGAAGUUGUUAAGUCUGCUACUUGGGGAGUACGUCCGCAAGGAUGAAACUUAAAGGAAUUGGCGGGGGAGCACCGCAACGGGAGGAGCGUGCGGUUUAAUUGGAUUCAACACCGGAAAACUCACCAGUGAAGACUGUUACAUGAAAGCCAGGCUGAUGACCUUGCUAGAUUUUCAG
rnacentral:rRNA from 1 species